rnacentral:tmRNA from 1 species
GGGGGCGACACGGCUUCGACGGGGGUGGAGAGAUGAUGGCAGCGUGUCGAGGUGCCCAAUCACCUCGUUAAACAAUUGGGGAAAAAACGCAACUGCGGACGAUAACACGUACGCAAUGGCUGCCUAACUAACCGUUACGCAGUCCGUUCUACCAGCCUUCGCCUGUGUGGGCUGGCUAGGGCGCCGACUAGAGCAGGCUAGUUCAGGGGUUUCCGCUCGAGGACCCCCGAGCGAAUCCUAAUCGAGCUGGCAUCUUGAUGACCCUGUCUGUUGGGGCAUAAGGUGCGAGACUCUUAAAUGAAUAGACUACACACGUAGACGCCGUCGUUAAACUGCUUUCGGACGCGGGUUCGAUUCCCGCCGCCUCCACCA